ACGGAGGCUUCUACCUGCCUGUACCCCCUUUGGAGGGCCCACGAAUACAGAGCUGAGCACAAAAGAUGUUUAAAGGACAUUUAGUCAAAAAUGUCGCUUACAGGUAGGUCGUUAUUUUAGCAAGGUAGUGCAGCGGUAUGGCCGAGUCUACGCUUGGGAAUUCAUUUGCUGACUUAUCAUUUACUGACUAAAGCAAAGUUACUGGGGCCUCAGUUUCCUCAUCUGCAACCCGGGGAGAUGGCCAGUACCCAUCACAAUCGAUUGCUAUUAAGAUUCAAUGAUAAUGCAGAUAAGGCACUUAAUACAGUGUCCCCUCACCGUCCACACCACACGGGCACGCCCGCUUAUUCCUGAGGACCGGGCUGGGACGUCGCCUCCUUUGUGUAGCCUUCCUACCCUGACUUCGCAGACUGCUCCCACCGCCUGGAUCCAUGCCCGUCCGCCCGCCCGCCCGCUCAGGGCUGAACGGCUGAGGUUGGCGCGCGGUGGAGAAAAGAGCCGCAGACUGAGGAAGGUCGGGAAGGAGAAAGGGACACACCAGACGCGGCGUCUUAAUUCCCCUCCACCCACAGGCCCCCGAGCAGCAGCACCUCCGCCCCACCUCCCGCUCGCCCCGCCGGAAGCCGGUCAGAGCCAGCCGGAAGCCCCGCCCCCUAGAGACACCGCGGAUAGGAGGAGCUCCCGCUCUUCGCUCAGCGGACCGCACUGCGGACACCGUGCAGCGCUGUUCACCCAGAAGCCAGCUGUGACCUUGGCUAAGCCAGUGACUUAACUCAGGCCCGUUCCCCGUUCCCACGUUGUUGCCAAGUCUUCAGCCUGGAAAGUAAACUGGCUUCAGGCCGCCUUCUUCUCAAUGACACCACUCCAGCUUCUGAUAUAUCCUCAAAUGCUGCUGCCCACUAUAAAAAAAAAAAUCUCAUCAGUCCUGAUUUCAGAAAAAUUUUAGACCAACAAAUCAGAGACCCUGCACUGAUGGAUCCGCUGGUGCCAUCCAGAUCAAUAAACUGGCUCAUCUGAUCUUGUGGCCCCCAUCCAGGAACCAACUCAGAGCAAGAAGACAGCUUCAACUCCUUAUGCCUUCACCUCUGAUGCGACCUAUCAACACGCCCCACUCCCUGGCCCCCUACCCGCCAAAUUAUCCUUAAAAAAACUCCAGUCCCUAAAUUUUCUGGGAGACUGAUUUGAGUAAUAAACUCUGGUCUCCCAUUCUG